AACGAACGCUGGCGGCGCGCCUAAUACAUGCAAGUCGAGCGAGAAGACGUAGCAAUACGUUUGUAAAGCGGCGAACGGGUGAGGAAUACAUGGGUAACCUACCCUAGAGUGGGGAAUAACUAGCCGAAAGGUUAGCUAAUACCGCGUACGCUCCUUGGACUUCGGUACAGGGAGGAAAGCGAUACCGUGGGUAUCGCGCUCUUGGAUGGGCUCAUGUCCUAUCAGCUUGUUGGUGAGGAACGGCUCACCAAGGCUUCGACGGGUAGCUGGUCUGAGAGGACGAUCAGCCACACUGGCACUGCGACACGGGCCAGACUCCUACGGGAGGCAGCAGUAAGGAAUAUUGCGCAAUGGGCGAAAGCCUGACGCAGCGACGCCGCGUGGGGGAGUGAA
rnacentral:rRNA from 1 species